UGAGGAAUAUUGGUCAAUGGGCGGGAGCCUGAACCAGCCAAGUCGCGUGAGGGAAGACGGUACUAAGUAUUGUAAACCUCUUUUGUCAGGGAACAAAGGACUCCACGAGUGGAGAGAUGAGUGUACCUGAAGAAAAAGCAUCGGCUAACUCCGUGCCAGCAGCCGCGGUAAUACGGAGGAUGCGAGCGUUAUCCGGAUUUAUUGGGUUUAAAGGGUGCGCAGGCGGAGAGUCAAGUCAGCGGUAAAAUGUCGGGGCUCAACCCCGGCCGGCCGUUGAAACUGGCUCACUAGAGUUGGAGAGAAGUAUGCGGAAUUCGUGGUGUAGCGGUGAAAUGCAUAGAUAUCACGAAGAACUCCGAUUGCGAAGGCAGCAUACCGGCUCCAUACUGACGCUCAGGCACGAAAGCGUGGGUAUCGAACAGG
rnacentral:rRNA from 1 species